AUGGCGUCAAAUCAUCAUGCCCCUUAUGUUCUGGGCUACACACGUGCUACAAUGGCCGGUACAGACGGAGGCGAAGCCGCGAGGCGGAGCAAAUCCGAAAAAGCCGGUCUCAGUUCGGAUUGCAGGCUGCAAUUCGCCUGCAUGAAGUCGGAAUCGCUAGUAAUCGCAGGUCAGCAUACUGCGGUGAAUACGUUCCCGGGCCUU
rnacentral:rRNA from 1 species